rnacentral:rRNA from 1 species
UACGUAGGGUGCGAGCGUUGUCCGGAAUUACUGGGCGUAAAGAGCUCGUAGGUGGUUUGUCGCGUUGUCCGUGAAAACUCACAGCUCAACUGUGGGCGUGCGGGCGAUACGGGCAGACUGGAGUACUGCAGGGGAGACUGGAAUUCCUGGUGUAGCGGUGAAAUGCGCAGAUAUCUGGAGGAACACCGGUGGCGAAGGCGGCAUCCUGGACCGGUAUUGACGCUGAGGCGCGAAAGCCAGGGGAGCAAACGGG